GAACGCUGGCGGCAGGCCUAACACAUGCAAGUCGAACGGUAACAGGAAGCAGCUUGCUGCUUUGCUGACGAGUGGCGGACGGGUGAGUAAUGUCUGGGAAACUGCCUGAUGGAGGGGGAUAACUACUGGAAACGGUGGCUAAUACCGCAUAACGUCGCAAGACCAAAGAGGGGGACCUUCGGGCCUCUUGCCAUCAGAUGUGCCCAGAUGGGAUUAGCUUGUUGGUGAGGUAACGGCUCACCAAGGCGACGAUCCCUAGCUGGUCUGAGAGGAUGACCAGCCACACUGGAACUGAGACACGGUCCAGACUCCUACGGGAGGCAGCAGUGGGGAAUAUUGCACAAUGGGCGCAAGCCUGAUGCAGCCAUGCCGCGUGUAUGAAGAAGGCCUUCGGGUUGUAAAGUACUUUCAGCGGGGAGGAAGGUGUUGUGGUUAAUAACCGCAGCAAUUGACGUUACCCGCAGAAGAAGCACCGGCUAACUCCGUGCCAGCCGCCGCGGUAAUU
rnacentral:rRNA from 1 species